GCAUUCUCAGCUCUGCCUGGCCUUUCUUCCUCUUGGGAGUGAGCCAGCCUGAGAGUGCGGGAGCUCUUCUCUGCUUUUCUGGAGGAGGGGUCUGUCUGCUGCAGGCCAGUGCUGCUGGGGCAGAGUGAGUAAAUGGGCCCGGCUGCCAGUCAGAGAGUAAGCCCCUUUGAUUCUCAUGCUAAGCUGCAUCCUCCACCUUAGACUCCCGUUAGUAAUAAAGCCUCCACCUGCUAUUCAAAGUGUGGUCUGCAGAAGAGCAGCGUGGGUAUUACCUGGGUGCUUGGGAGAAAUGCACAGUAUCAGGCCCCACCUCACACAGCAAUGGAAUCUGCAUUCGAACCACAUGCCAAGGGGAUUCAUAUGCAUGAGAGCUAGUAGCAAAUAUUAAUAAGAAGGUAAGUGUUGCUCUCUCUCAG
rnacentral:lncRNA from 10 species